UACGGAGGGUGCAAGCGUUAUCCGGAUUCACUGGGUUUAAAGGGUGCGUAGGCGGGCAGGUAAGUCAGUGGUGAAAUCCCCGGGCUUAACUUGGGAACUGCCGUUGAUACUAUCUGUCUUGAAUAUCGUGGAGGUGAGCGGAAUAUGUCAUGUAGCGGUGAAAUGACUUAGAUAUGACAUAGAACACCCAUUGCGAAGGCAGCUCACUACACGAUAAUUGACGCUGAGGCACGAAAGCGUGGGGAGCAAACAGG
rnacentral:rRNA from 1 species